rnacentral:lncRNA from 1 species
AUGGAUCUGCGUGAUUCCCAGCCAAGCCUGGCAUCAAACACUGGUGCAAUAGAGGAAGAAGGUUUAACUUUGUCAGAGUCACUGAUGCCUACGUCGACUGAUCACAGAUAUGGGACGGACUCAGACGAUUUGAGCCAGUGGCAGUCUGAGUUCAGAGGGCAAAUCCGAGCUCUGAGACACUGGCUGAACAGCAUGGAGAUGAGGCUUCCACCCCCGGACCCCACUUCUGGGACACACAGAUGAGGAUCACCCUCAUCCUGUGGAAAUGUCACAGCCAAUCUGUAUUGGAGAACUGACCUUUGGACAUUUUGAAAUUGCAUGAAUUCUUUAAAGGAUCGUUUGAAACCCAAUUGCGCAGGCAGGAGGAACAUGAGCCGCGAAUCAGUGUCAGAAAUGAGUCAUGGCCCAUUUAUGAGUCUACCGUCAUGGCCUCCGCCACAGCCAUUCCCCCCUGCAGAAGAAUGCCUGUCUACGCCGCGUUAGAUCAAUAAGGAGGAAUCACGGGCCACAUCAAGAAAUGAGAUGACAAGAAAGACGGAGUGUUAGGGACAUUUUGAAAAGGCAAACGUGUAUAAUUAAACCAACUAUCUCCAAGGAGGCAGACCCCCCCUUCCGGCUCCACCAUCAAGGAGGUCUGCCUGCUCUCCCUGAGGUUGCUCCAGCGGAUUAGGCUGGGCGGCUGCGAGCCUAUUGUGCCCGGGCCCCAGGACGGCGGGGCCAGAGAGCCGUGGCUCUGCGGUGGAGGCCCUCUGCACACAUGAGCGAGCGCUCUGAAAAGACAUUAGACUCAGAUGGGAGGAUACACAGAAGAGGCUGGACGAAAAAAACGAAACAGACCUGAUCAAGAUCCUCAGACAGUCGCAGCGAUCUGACCAUGGAGAUGCUUGAUGCACUGCGCAUGGUCUUGAAUUUGCUUCCAUAAAUGGAAGAAACACAAAAUUCCAUGGUGAGAUAUUUGAUAUUG